GAAAGAAUGAGCUGUGACCCAGCAGAACCAGACGCGCGCACAGGACGAGCUUGUAGAUAAAAAGACAUGGCCUCCUGUGGUACCCGCCUCGGUUUUCUCUGUGUCUGUUUCCUUGCAGUAGAAGCAGAUUCUUUUUUGGCCC